rnacentral:rRNA from 1 species
GACGAAGGGGGCUAGCGUUGUUCGGAAUUACUGGGCGUAAAGCGAGUGUAGGUGGUUGUCCAAGUUGGAUGUGAAAGCCUUGAGCUUAACUCAAGAAAUGCAUUCAGGACUGGGCGACUAGAGGACCGGAGAGGAUAGUGGAAUUCCCAGUGUAGUGGUGAAAUACGUAGAGAUUGGGAAGAACACCAGUGGCGAAGGCGGCUCACUGGCCCGUAACUGACGCUGAGGUGCGAAAGCGUGGGGAGCAAACAGG